GAGGGGGGAUGCAAGCAUUAUCCGGAAUCACUGGGCGUAAAGCGUCUGUAGGUGGUGAUGCAAGUCACUGGUGCAAAACUCUGGCUCAACCGGAGGAAAGCCAGUGAAACUGCAUGACUAGAGUGUGGGAGAGGUAGAAGGAAUUCCCUGAGUAGCGGUGAAAUGCGUAGAUACAGGGAAGAACACCGGAGGCGAAAGCGUUCUACUGGAACACAACUGACCCUGAGAGACGAAAGCUAGGGGAGCGAAUGGG
rnacentral:rRNA from 1 species